UCAGACGAUGCGUCAUGCAUAUCAAUAAGCGGAGGAAAAGAAACUAACAAGGAUUCCCCUAGUAACGGCGAGUGAAGCGGGAAGAGCUCAAAUUUGAAAUCUUAAAGGGUUUCCCUUUACGAAUUGUAGUUUAAAGAAGUGUUUUCUGUUGAGGUUUUGGUAAAAGUUCUUUGGAAUAGGACAUCAUAGAGGGUGAGAAUCCCGUAUUUGACCUUUACUUUCAACUUUGUGAUACACUUUCAAAGAGUCGGAUUGUUUGGGAAUGCAGUCCAAAAUGGGUGGUAAAUUUCAUCUAAAGCUAAAUAUUGGCGAGAGACCGAUAGCGAACAAGUACCGUGAGGGAAAGAUGAAAAGAACUUUGAAAAGAGAGUUAAACAGUACGUGAAAUUGUCAAAAGGGAAGCGUUUGACACCAGUGUUGUUUUUCUGAAAUCAAUUAAAGAACUGUUUAUGCUAAGCUGUUUAGACUUUAUCAGCUAUCUGUUUAGUUUUAGGCUUUUCUUUAAUGCACUUUUCAGUUAACAAGUCAACAUCAAUUUCUUUUGCUGUAAAAAAGCUUGAGGAAGGUGGCUUGAGAUUCGUCUUAAGUGUUUAUAGCCUCUUGCCUAUGCAGUCGGAGAGAUUGAGGUCUGCAGCGUAGAUCCUUCGGGGCUAAAUGCAUUUGUGCUAAGUUAUAGCAUUUUAUAGACAACUUGUUGACUAUGAUUUGUCUUGUAGCUUACUCGCUUAUGUUAUUUUACCUACGCUUAGGAUGUUGACACACGCGCGUGCUCG
rnacentral:rRNA from 1 species